rnacentral:tRNA from 1 species
AAAAUUUAUAUAGUUUAUGAAAAACGUUACAUUUUCAUUGUAAAAUAAGAACUUCUCUUCUUAUAAAUAUAC